rnacentral:rRNA from 1 species
GACGAACGCUGGCGGCGUGCUUAACACAUGCAAGUCGAACGGAAAGGCCCUGCUUUUGUGGGGUGCUCGAGUGGCGAACGGGUGAGUAACACGUGAGUAACCUGCCCUUGACUUUGGGAUAACUUCAGGAAACUGGGGCUAAUACCGGAUAGGAGCUCCUGCUGCAUGGUGGGGGUUGGAAAGUUUCGGCGGUUGGGGAUGGACUCGCGGCUUAUCAGCUUGUUGGUGGGGUAGUGGCUUACCAAGGCUUUGACGGGUAGCCGGCCUGAGAGGGUGACCGGCCACAUUGGGACUGAGAUACGGCCCAGACUCCUACGGGAGGCAGCAGUGGGGAAUAUUGCACAAUGGGCGGAAGCCUGAUGCAGCAACGCCGCGUGCGGGAUGACGGCCUUCGGGUUGUAAACCGCUUUCGCCUGUGACGAAGCGUGAGUGACGGUAAUGGGUAAAGAAGCACCGGCUAACUACGUGCCAGCAGCCGCGGUGAUACGUAGGGUGCGAGCGUUGUCCGGAUUUAUUGGGCGUAAAGGGCUCGUAGGUGGUUGAUCGCGUCGGAAGUGUAAUCUUGGGGCUUAACCCUGAGCGUGCUUUCGAUACGGGUUGACUUGAGGAAGGUAGGGGAGAAUGGAAUUCCUGGCGGAGCGGUGGAAUGCGCAGAUAUCAGGAGGAACACCAGUGGCGAAGGCGGUUCUCUGGGCCUUUCCUGACGCUGAGGAGCGAAAGCGUGGGGAGCGAACAGGCUUAGAUACCCUGGUAGUCCACGCUGUAAACGGUGGGUACUAGGUGUGGGGUCCAUUCCACGGGUUCCGUGCCGUAGCUAACGCUUUAAGUACCCCGCCUGGGGAGUACGGCCGCAAGGCUAAAACUCAAAGGAAUUGACGGGGCCCCGCACAAGCGGCGGAGCAUGCGGAUUAAUUCGAUGCAACGCGUAGAACCUUACCUGGGUUUGACAUGGAUCGGGAGUGCUCAGAGAUGGGUGUGCCUCUUUUGGGGUCGGUUCACAGGUGGUGCAUGGCUGUCGUCAGCUCGUGUCGUGAGAUGUUGGGUUAAGUCCCGCAACGAGCGCAACCCUUGUUCACUGUUGCCAGCACGUUAUGGUGGGGACUCAGUGGAGACCGCCGGGGUCAACUCGGAGGAAGGUGGGGAUGACGUCAAGUCAUCAUGCCCCUUAUGUCCAGGGCUUCACGCAUGCUACAAUGGCUGGUACAGAGAGUGGCGAGCCUGUGAGGGUGAGCGAAUCUCGGAAAGCCGGUCUCAGUUCGGAUUGGGGUCCGCAACUCGACCUCAUGAAGUCGGAGUCGCUAGUAAUCGCAGAUCAGCAACGCUGCGGUGAAUACGUUCCCGGGGCU